CUAGAUUAGACUUUGAUCCUGGCUCAGAGCGAACGCUGGCGGCAGGCCUAACACAUGCAAGUCGAACGAACUCUUCGGAGUUAGUGGCGGACGGGUGAGUAACACGUGGGAACGUGCCUUUAGGUUCGGAAUAGCUCCUGGAAACGGGUGGUAAUGCCGAAUGUGCCCUUCGGGGGAAAGAUUUAUCGCCUUUAGAGCGGCCCGCGUCUGAUUAGCUAGUUGGUGGGGUAAUGGCCCACCAAGGCUACGAUCAGUAGCUGGUCUGAGAGGAUGACCAGCCACAUUGGGACUGAGACACGGCCCAAACUCCUACGGGAGGCAGCAGUGGGGAAUCUUGCGCAAUGGGCGAAAGCCUGACGCAGCCAUGCCGCGUGUAUGAUGAAGGUCUUAGGAUUGUAAAAUACUUUCACCGGUGAAGAUAAUGACUGUAGCCGGAGAAGAAGCCCCGGCUAACUUCGUGCCAGCAGCCGCGGUAAUACGAAGGGGGCUAGCGUUGCUCGGAAUUACUGGGCGUAAAGGGAGCGUAGGCGGACAUUUAAGUCAGAGGUGAAAUCCCGGAGCUUAACUUCGGAACUGCCUUUGAUACUGGGUGUCUUGAGUGUGAGAGAGGUAUGUGGAA
rnacentral:rRNA from 1 species